AUACGGAGGGUGCAAGCGUUAUCCGGAUUCAUUGGGUUUAAAGGGUGCGCAGGCGGACUUGUAAGUCAGUGGUGAAACCCCGGGGCUCAACCUCGGAACUGCCAUUGAUACUGCAAGUCUUGAGUUUGGUUGAAGUGGGCGGAAUGUAGCAUGUAGCGGUGAAAUGCAUAGAUAUGCUACAGAACACCGGUCGCGAAGGCAGCUCACUAAACCAACACUGACGCUCAGGCACGAAAGCGUGGGGAGCGAACAGGAUUAGAAACCCUAGUAGUCC
rnacentral:rRNA from 1 species